rnacentral:rRNA from 1 species
UACGUAGGGUGCGAGCGUUGUCCGGAAUUAUUGGGCGUAAAGAGCUUGUAGGCGGUUUGUCGCGUCUGCUGUGAAAGCCCGGGGCUUAACUCCGGGUCUGCAGUGGGUACGGGCAGGCUAGAGUGUGGUAGAGGAGACUGGAAUUCCUGGUGUAGCGGUGAAAUGCGCAGAUAUCAGGAGGAACACCGAUGGCGAAGGCAGGUCUCUGGGCCAUAACUGACGCUGAGAAGCGAAAGCAUGGGGAGCGAACAGG